AGGACGAACGCUGGCGGCGUGCUUAACACAUGCAAGUCGAGCGGAAAGGCCCUUCGGGGUACUCGAGCGGCGAACGGGUGAGUAACACGUGAGUAAUCUGCCCCUAGCUCUGGGAUAGCUCCGGGAAACCGGGAUUAAUACCGGAUACGACCACCUUAGACAUCUUUUGUGGUGGAAAGAAUUUCGGCUAGGGAUGAGCUCGCGGCCUAUCAGCUUGUUGGUGGGGUAACGGCCUACCAAGGCGACGACGGGUAGCCGGCCUGAGAGGGCGACCGGCCACACUGGGACUGAGACACGGCCCAGACUCCUACGGGAGGCAGCAGUGGGAAUAUUGCGCAAUGGGCGAAAGCCUGACGCAGCGACGCCGCGUGGGGGAUGAAGGCCUUCGGGUUGUAAACCCUUUCAGCAGGGACGAAGCGAAAGUGACGGUACCUGCAGAAGAAGCGCCGGCUAACUACGCGCCAGCAGCCGC
rnacentral:rRNA from 1 species